AUGUAUAAUCCAAACUCGACUGAAGGGAGACUUCCUAGCAGCCUGAUCGACAUUCCCAGAAGAGAAUCCCGUGAGGAGCAACCAGCCAAUGCCAGACCUUUAUUCUCGAUGGUCCCGCCCCCCGUAUCAUCCGCUGGCAUCGUAACCAAUAGAAAGGAGCAGUCGCUGGUAGCACCCAAUGAGAAUCGGAGAAGUGGCACCAUUGGCUGGGGCUGCCUCGCCGUGAAAACUGGGCCACCGCCUCCGUUACCCUGGAGCCCGAGUCGCAGCCCCAGGAGCCUCUGCCCCCGCCCUCGCCCCCGCCCCCUGCUCGGGGUUCAAACACAGCGCAACCUGGCAACCGCAGCCCACAGCCUCCCCCGCACCCUCCCGGGGAGGGACUCCCCCGCCGCCCUCGGGCGUCCGCCCAUUGGUGGGCUGACGCGGAGAUCCAGGGCUGGGAGGAUCCAGAACAUAGAGAAAGGGGGAGAAGACGGACCGGAAUUGGGACACUUCUGGAGAAAAGGAUCCGUGAAAUUAUGUGAAUACCGAUUAUAUAUCAAAACAAUGGGAGAAAGAUCAAGAAUCUCAGAUAUCAAUCAAGACGGAUACUCAGAACAAGAACAAUAUAGUGAUACCUUUUAUUCAGAUGAUUUUGAAAAUUCGUUUGCUUCCACCCAGUCAUCAAUCCAGAAGGCCUAUCAUAAUUCGCCAGUAAGGAAGAAAGGUCCUAAGAUAUACAGUUCAGAUAGUCAUCACCAAGUCUCUAGGAGAACAAGUUCUAAGUUUCCACCAAACAGAAGAGAAUUCAGAUUAGGACAUCGUUCCCAGAGCCUCAACAGGGAGCCUUCUCAGAAAGAUAUCGAUCUUCUAACCAAACGGGUUCUUACUGCCAGACUGCUGAAAAUUAGUGAGCUGCAAAAUGAAGUGACUGAACUCCAGUUCAAAUUAGAUGAGCUGCAAAAAGAAAACAAGGCUUUGAAAAGGCUUCAGUAUAAACAGGAGAAAGCCCUGAAUAAGUUUGAAGAUACAGAAAAUGAAAUCUCACAACUUAUAGUCAGACAUAACAAUGAAAUUAGAGCAUUAAAAGAGCGCUUAAGAAAAUCUCAAGAGAAAGAACGGGCAACUGAUAAAAAGGUGAAAGAUACGGAGUGUGAACUUUAUAGAACAAAAUGUUCUUUAAAGAAACUGAAAAAGCUCUCUGAGGCUAAGCACCUACCUGAACGAGAUGAUCUAGCAAAGAAACUAGUCUUAGCAGAGACCAAAUUAGAUGAUACAGAGAAAAAAAUUAAGGAGCUGUCAAAAAAUCUUCAGCUGAAUGCCAGCAGUUUCCAGCGACAGUUAAAUGUUGAAAAGAGAAGGGCACAUGAAGUUCAGGAUGAAAAUAAAAUUCUCCAAAGGGAGGUACAACAAUUAAAUCAAAAAUUGAGGGAAAAAGAGAAAGAACUAGAUGCAAAAAAUAUAUAUUCUAACCGCAUGGUGAGGAAAACUCCUAAGAAAGACAGAGAUGCUUCUCCAAGAAAAAAUGCUGUGAGCUCUAGUGUUAAAGGAGUACAUAGCACAAAAGGAGUACAAACUAUUGAAUAUUACAGAGAAGAAGAGCUUCUAUCAUCGCUAACUUUUGAUUCUCAAGACUCACUCAGACCAGAAGAGGACCAUUUUGCUACCCAGGAACAGAAAAGCCCAAAGAAGGAUGAAGAAACACCUGAGAUUAUAAUUACAGAAAGAGAAGAGAAACAUCUAGAAGAAGAUGAACUAUGUGUUACAAGAGAAGAAACUGAAACUUGUCAAGAUGAUGGUGCAAGAGAGAACUUUGAAUGUCAAACAGCAGGUGUGGUUUUAAUAGAGGAAGAAGAACCUAUAGCAGAAACAGCAGUUUGUCCUAUUGAAAAUGAAAAUAGUGAGAAGUCAGAACAAGAAGAAGAACAAAAACAAGAACAGCAAGAACAAGAACAACAAGAACAACAAGAACAAAACGAAGGCGAAAGACUGAAGAAAGAGAUGUUAAUUGCUAAAUUGAAUGAAAUUGACAAAGAAAUACAUACUUCCCUGAACUUAAAAGGUUCACAUUCAAAAUCAGUCUCUCCAGAGGAAAAAUCUCAAAGUUUCAGGUCUCAGAAUCCACUGAGAGGUUGUUUACUGGGUUUUUCAGUCAAGAUAGCAAUCAUAAAUCCCCAAAUAAUGCAGAUCAGAAACAAAGAAAUAUUUGGAGCCCAAUCCCUGUCACUGACUUCACAUUUGGUAGUUAUGUGCCUUCUUUUGGGAAAACAUCAGGGAGGUCGAAUGUAUAUAAUCAAAAAAGUGGCAUUUUAG
rnacentral:lncRNA from 1 species